AAUGAUAAUUAGUAAAAUCACGUUUGGGUUUGCAACUCAGAAUACCACAAAAUGACAGAUGAAGCCACAUCUGAUACGAUUGCAUUAUGGGCCUGAGAAUCCUCACCAAUUUCGUAACGCAAAGUACAUCUUAGAACCAAAAAUUACAUACGAUCUACUCUUUGGGUAAAACAUAUGCAAUUUAUGAGAGUUCCAAAUCGUCUACAUCAUAUCCUUAGACUGGAAGCUCUACUUUUAGGAGACUGCAGAGAUGCGGCAUGUCCUCAAAAACCUUGGCAAGCUUCUACAGAUGUGUGGUGACAAGUGUGCUGAUUGGCUGUGUUAUAGCCUGGCAUGGGAACACCAAUGCCUUUGAGCAGAACAUCUACAGAGCCCAGUACUUAACAGAUAUAGCCCUCCCAACCAUUGAGCACAUCUCCAUGAAAUGUUGCCAUAGAAAAGCAGCAUCCAUCAUUAAUGAUCCUCACCACCCAGGCCAUGCUCUUUUCUCGCUAUUGCCAUCAGGUAGAAGGUACAAGUGCCUCAGGACUCGCACCACCAGGUUCAAAAACAGUUUCUACCACUCAACCAUGAGGGUCUUGAAAAGGGAAUAACUAUACUCCUGUUCCCGCAACAGACGGUCUCACUCUAAGGACUGUUUAUCUUGUUAUUCCAUGCUCAUUAUUUAUUGCUAUUAUUAAUAUCUGCAUUUGCAGUUUUGUUGUCCAUUGAUCCUGUUUAGUUAUCGUUCUAUGGAUCUGUUAUGUACAGCAACAGAAAAAGAACCUCAGGGUUGUAUGUGGUGACACGAAUGUACUCUGAUAAUAAAUCUUACUUUGAACGUUG